rnacentral:rRNA from 1 species
GCGGCGUGCCUAACACAUGCAAGUCGAGCGAGGGUUUGCUCAGUAUUGAGUAUUCUAAGACUAGAAUGUUCAAUUCUGAGCAAAACCAAGCGGCGGACGGGUGAGUAACGCGUGGGUAACCUGCCCUAUACACAUGGAUAACAUACUGAAAAGUUUACUAAUACAUGAUAAUAUAUAUUUGCGGCAUCGCAGAUAUAUCAAAGUGUUAGCGGUAUAGGAUGGACCCGCGUCUGAUUAGCUAGUUGGUGAGAUAACUGCCCACCAAGGCGACGAUCAGUAGCCGACCUGAGAGGGUGAUCGGCCACAUUGGAACUGAGACACGGUCCAAACUCCUACGGGAGGCAGCAGUGGGGAAUAUUGCACAAUGGGCGAAAGCCUGAUGCAGCAACGCCGCGUGAACGAUGAAGGUCUUCGGAUCGUAAAGUUCUGUUGCAGGGGAAGAUA